rnacentral:lncRNA from 1 species
AUUCUUCCAAACAGAACUGAUCUGGCAUGAAGGAGAGAGAAGAGGUGUAUGAGUGAAAUUCAUCUGACAAGAAAAAGAAAGCAAGAGAGGUUAUGCUUAUAUUUCUCCAGGACAAAAUCAACAGCCAAUUUGGAUACCAUCAAGACACCUGAAACCUUAUCAUGAGCCAGAUGCCGAGGAAGAGACUCCAGGAAGAUCCCAAGGACACCCCAGUUGCAGCCAUGUCGAGACUGAUGCUGAGGAGGACCCCAACUGUCACGAGCAACACCCGUCGAACACAGCCACCCACCUGUGGACAGAUCAAGAAGCUGUCACAGAUGGCGGAAGAAAACCUGAGGAAAGCGGGACAAACAGUCACAAUGAAUAAUUUAAUCGUAGCUAUGAUAGCGGUUAUCACCACUGCCAUGAGUAAUCCUUCAAUAAGGACUGGCAAUAAUGCCUGGAUGCAAUCACUCUAUGACACAGUUACACAUACUUUCUGAUCUCAGUAUUUACCAUAAUAAAUCUGCUCCUAUCAUUGAGGCAUACCACCCUCAAAAAACUAUUUGUAAACAGGAUUGGACCCAGUUAGAAAAAAUGAAUGUACUUGUUUAGGAAGAUUGCUUUGCAGAACAGGCAGAGGUGCUGCACAAUGAUUCCUAUGGAAUCAUUAUUAAUUGGUCCCCUAAGGGGAUGUUUAGCUUGAUUUGCACCUCUCAGUCUGCAUGCCAUGGUCACACUAUGUUCAGAUGAUCUGAACAAAAUGGUCAGAUGGUAGAAAUGAUAAGAAGUACGGCAAAAGUUCCUGUUAUCUGUAACCAUGAUGGUAUAGUGGCACCUCAACCUCAAAUGAUAUGGCCCGCUCUAGGAG